rnacentral:rRNA from 1 species
GGGUUGUGAGGUUAAGCGACUAAGCGUACACGGUGGAUGCCCUGGCAGUCAGAGGCGAUGAAGGACGUGCUAAUCUGCGAUAAGCGCCGGUAAGGUGAUAUGAACCGUUAUAACCGGCGAUUUCCGAAUGGGGAAACCCAGUGUGACUCGUCACACUAUCAUUAACUGAAUCCAUAGGUUAAUGAGGCGAACCGGGGGAACUGAAACAUCUAAGUACCCCGAGGAAAAGAAAUCAACCGAGAUUCCCCCAGUAGCGGCGAGCGAACGGGGAGGAGCCCAGAGCCUGAAUCAGCAUGUGUGUUAGUGGAAGCGUCUGGAAAGGCGCGCGAUACAGGGUGACAGCCCCGUACACAAAAGCGCAUGUGCUGUGAGCUCGAUGAGUAGGGCGGGACACGUGGUAUCCUGUCUGAAUAUGGGGGGACCAUCCUCCAAGGCUAAAUACUCCUGACUGACCGAUAGUGAACCAGUACCGUGAGGGAAAGGCGAAAAGAACCCCGGCGAGGGGAGUGAAAAAGAACCUGAAACCGUGUACGUACAAGCAGUGGGAGCACAGGUUUACCUGUGUGACUGCGUACCUUUUGUAUAAUGGGUCAGCGACUUAUAUUCUGUAGCAAGGUUAACCGAAUAGGGGAGCCGGAGGGAAACCGAGUCUUAAUUGGGCGUUAAGUUGCAGGGUAUAGACCCGAAACCCGGUGAUCUAGCCAUGGGCAGGUUGAAGGUUGGGUAACACUAACUGGAGGACCGAACCGACUAAUGUUGAAAAAUUAGCGGAUGACCUGUGGCUGGGGGUGAAAGGCCAAUCAAACCGGGAGAUAGCUGGUUCUCCCCGAAAGCUAUUUAGGUAGCGCCUCGUGAAUUCAUCUCCGGGGGUAGAGCACUGUUUCGGCUAGGGGGCCAUCCCGGCUUACCAACCCGAUGCAAACUGCGAAUACCGGAGAAUGUUAUCACGGGAGACACACGGCGGGUGCUAACGUCCGUCGUGAAGAGGGAAACAACCCAGACCGCCAGCUAAGGUCCCAAAGUCAUGGUUAAGUGGGAAACGAUGUGGGAAGGCCCAGACAGCCAGGAUGUUGGCUUAGAAGCAGCCAUCAUUUAAAGAAAGCGUAAUAGCUCACUGGUCGAGUCGGCCUGCGCGGAAGAUGUAACGGGGCUAAACCAUGCACCGAAGCUGCGGCAGCGACACUAUGUGUUGUUGGGUAGGGGAGCGUUCUGUAAGCCUGUGAAGGUGGCCUGUGAGGGUUGCUGGAGGUAUCAGAAGUGCGAAUGCUGACAUAAGUAACGAUAAAGCGGGUGAAAAGCCCGCUCGCCGGAAGACCAAGGGUUCCUGUCCAACGUUAAUCGGGGCAGGGUGAGUCGACCCCUAAGGCGAGGCCGAAAGGCGUAGUCGAUGGGAAACGGGUUAAUAUUCCCGUACUUGGUGUUACUGCGAAGGGGGGACGGAGAAGGCUAUGUUGGCCGGGCGACGGUUGUCCCGGUUUAAGCGUGUAGGUGUGUGUUCCAGGUAAAUCCGGUUCACUUUAACACUGAGGCGUGAUGACGAGGCACUACGGUGCUGAAGCAACAAAUGCCCUGCUUCCAGGAAAAGCCUCUAAGCAUCAGGUAACAUCAAAUCGUACCCCAAACCGACACAGGUGGUCAGGUAGAGAAUACCAAGGCGCUUGAGAGAACUCGGGUGAAGGAACUAGGCAAAAUGGUGCCGUAACUUCGGGAGAAGGCACGCUGACACGUAGGUGAAGUGAUUUACUCACGGAGCUGAAGUCAGUCGAAGAUACCAGCUGGCUGCAACUGUUUAUUAAAAACACAGCACUGUGCAAACACGAAAGUGGACGUAUACGGUGUGACGCCUGCCCGGUGCCGGAAGGUUAAUUGAUGGGGUCAGCGCAAGCGAAGCUCCUGAUCGAAGCCCCGGUAAACGGCGGCCGUAACUAUAACGGUCCUAAGGUAGCGAAAUUCCUUGUCGGGUAAGUUCCGACCUGCACGAAUGGCGUAAUGAUGGCCAGGCUGUCUCCACCCGAGACUCAGUGAAAUUGAACUCGCUGUGAAGAUGCAGUGUACCCGCGGCAAGACGGAAAGACCCCGUGAACCUUUACUAUAGCUUGACACUGAACAUUGAGCCUUGAUGUGUAGGAUAGGUGGGAGGCUUUGAAGUGUGGACGCCAGUCUGCAUGGAGCCGACCUUGAAAUACCACCCUUUAAUGUUUGAUGUUCUAACGUGGACCCGUGAUCCGGGUUGCGGACAGUGUCUGGUGGGUAGUUUGACUGGGGCGGUCUCCUCCUAAAGAGUAACGGAGGAGCACGAAGGUUGGCUAAUCCUGGUCGGACAUCAGGAGGUUAGUGCAAUGGCAUAAGCCAGCUUGACUGCGAGCGUGACGGCGCGAGCAGGUGCGAAAGCAGGUCAUAGUGAUCCGGUGGUUCUGAAUGGAAGGGCCAUCGCUCAACGGAUAAAAGGUACUCCGGGGAUAACAGGCUGAUACCGCCCAAGAGUUCAUAUCGACGGCGGUGUUUGGCACCUCGAUGUCGGCUCAUCACAUCCUGGGGCUGAAGUAGGUCCCAAGGGUAUGGCUGUUCGCCAUUUAAAGUGGUACGCGAGCUGGGUUUAGAACGUCGUGAGACAGUUCGGUCCCUAUCUGCCGUGGGCGCUGGAGAACUGAGGGGGGCUGCUCCUAGUACGAGAGGACCGGAGUGGACGCAUCACUGGUGUUCGGGUUGUCAUGCCAAUGGCACUGCCCGGUAGCUAAAUGCGGAAGAGAUAAGUGCUGAAAGCAUCUAAGCACGAAACUUGCCCCGA